rnacentral:rRNA from 1 species
AGCAGUCGCCACGGGAAUACGAAGGGGGCUAGCGUUGUUCGGAAUUACUGGGCGUAAAGCGCACGUAGGCGGAUAUUUAAGUCAGGGGUGAAAUCCCGCAGCUCAACUGCAGAACUGCCUUUGAUACUGGGUAUCUUGAGUAUGGAAGAGGUUAGUGGAAUUGCGAGUGUAGAGGUGAAAUUCGUAGAUAUUCGCAGGAACACCAGUGGCGAAGGCGGCUAACUGGUCCAUAACUGACGCUGAGGUGCGAAAGCGUGGGGAGCAAACAGGAUUAGAUACCCCCGUAGUCCCUGUCUCUUAUAA